rnacentral:tRNA from 1 species
GCCGGCGUGGUGAAACUGGUAGACGCAGAGGACUCAAAAUCCUCCGGCAGCAAUGCCAUGGGGGUUCGAUUCCCUCCGCCGGCACCA